UUCCGGUUGAUCCUGCCGGAGGCUACCGCUAUUGGAGUUCGAUUAAGCCAUGCGAGUCGCGAGAAAUUAGAUUCUCGGCGUACCGCUCAGUAACACGUGGGUAACCUGCCCUAUGCUGGAUAAUAACCUCGGGAAACUGAGAAUAAUGAUCCAUAGUUCACUACGCCUGGAACGGUGAGUGGAUGAAAGCCCCGGCGGCAUAGGAUGGGCCUGCGGCGUAUCAGGUUGUAGGGGGUGUAACGUACCCUCUAGCCCUCUACGCGUACGGGUGUUGGGAGACAUAGCCCGGAGAUGGAUUCUGAGACACGAAUCCAGACCCUACGGGGUGCAGCAGGCGCGAAAACUUGGCAAUGCGAGAAAUCGUGACCAGGGAACUCCAAGUGCAUCGGGUAAGACCGGUGCUUUUCUUGACUCUAAAUAGGUCUUGGAAUAAGGGGUGGGUAAGGACGGUGCCAGCCGCCGCGGUAAUACCGGCGCCUCAAGUGGUAGUCGCUUUUAUUGGGCCUAAAACGUCCGUAGCCGGUCUGAUACAUUCGUGGGUAAAUCAACCAGCUCAACUGGUUGAAUUCUGCGAGGACGGUCAGACUUGGGACCGGGAGAGGUGUGGGGUACGCUCAGGGUAGGGGUAAAAUCCUGUCAUCCUGAGCGGACCACCUGUUGCGAAGGCGCCACACUAGAACGGAUCCGACGGUCAGGGACGAAGCCUAGGGGCACGAACCGGAUUAGAUACCCGGGUAGUCCUAGGUGUAAACGCUGUGGACUUGA
rnacentral:rRNA from 1 species